AAUUAAAUCAAAACAAGACCUCCAGUUUUAAAUCAGCCAAAUCAGGUUGAGCCUUGAGGAGAAGAUCAUGCCUGGAGUGAGCUGUGCAAUAUUUUGUAUCAAAUCUUCAUUUCAUUUCAUUUCGCUUUUCUUUUUAGCGUAUUGCACUUCCUUGCAAAGACAAGGAUCAAUCUGGAGAACAAACGGGGUGGUUUUGUCAAAAUGAAAAAGGCUUGUCUCAGUUGGCUGUGUGAAAAUGACCCUUCACGGAGAAAUCCAGCAACUCCUCUGUGGGCUCAAACUGGGAAAAAAAGGAAAACGCUCUGAAGGUGUCUGUGACGUGGAAGUUCCCGCUCUGCACAUCUCUGUAAUUAUCCAGUGAGCAAUGCCUCAUCAUGCUUUUUGCCCCCUGAUGAUUGCAGUUCAUUUGCAUUGUGUUUAAUUACCCUGCAAACGUAAAAUAAUCAUAUUGGAGCUUGGGGGGUUGGUGUCACCUGCUCUUAGCAGCCAAGAAAUUCAGUGUUUGGCUGCUCUCUGUGGCUCCUGGAGCUCUUCUGUCUACACAGGGGACUUCACUCCUCCUUGCCCAGGUUUUUGGGGAGUUGAGGGCAGCAGGAUGAGUUUUUCCUGGAAGUGUUCAUCCCUCUCCAUUUGUUGCUGAAGGAGAUGAAACUGCUGCUGUGGAAAUGCUGGCUAACUUCAGGCUGCUAAAAUUAGCUCUGACGAGUCACUCACAUCACUCUGACUAAUUAAUUGGGUUUUUAUGAGCUCAUCACGUUUAAUGAAGAAAAAAUAGCUUGCUAAGUGUUUUGUUGGGGUUUUUUUUUCCCCCUGCAAUUUACUCCGUGUAGUAGUAGGAUUGCUGGAUUAUUUUAAUGUAUUUCUCUUUUGCUAGCACUUGUCUCUGGAUAAAUAUGAUCCCUUUAGGUAAAACUGAAGCCUGGGGGGUGUUGGUUAUUCCAACAGUCAUUAAUUAGCCUCUUUUAUGUGCUGAUUCAUCAGCAGCAACCACUUAUAAGUGCAGUAAAAACCAACUUCUUGUAUCCUGGAUUUAAACACUGGCAGACAUGGGGGAAAUAGUCUAGGAAAAAAUGGAAAGGAAUGUAGGAAAAUGUAGGAAAAUGUGGAAGGGUCUCUGUACUUUUCUGCGGUGUUGGAAAAAAACACCAUUGGGAUUGAGUAAAAUAGAAUAUCACCUUCCAGACAUGGGAAUUAACCCUUCCACUGCCCUCAGAUCCUGACUGGGAUGCUUUUAUUUAAUGCUUUCCCAUUUUUGGGAAAGAUGGGGAGCAAUUGCUCCUUCCCAAGGUGCCAAUUGUGACCAAAACGCCCCCAAUUCCUUCCCAAGGUGCCAACUGUGACCAAAACACCCCCAAUUCCUUUCCAAGGUGCCAAUUGUGACCAAAACGCCCCAAUUCCUUCCCAAGGUGCCAAUUCCAGGUGCAGAUCCCCCUGUGAAGCUCAGGAGCUCAGCUGCCUUUCCCUCCCCAAGUUCUCUUCCCUGUGAGCCUCUGGAAAAAUAAAAAUCUUCCUUUGGAAUGGCUUUGCUGGAAGUGGAAGCACCAGGAGCCUGGUUUAGGGAUUUGUCCUGUGUGUUCUGGCACAGGGAGAUGCAAAUGAUAAAUACAAACACGUGAGUGAGGCUGGUGAGGUGUGCCUGGGUCAGGAAGAAACUUCUCUCCCAGGCAUGUUAAUUCAUAAAAAAACAUUUUAUAUCUUCUUCCACUUUUAUCUCCAGCCUCUGAUCCCAGCCCAUGCUGCUCUCAACCAGCCUGGCUUUUUUUUUUUUUUUUUCCUGUUUGUUACUUUAAUUUCAUUUAUCCCACUACAAACACAAUGUAUAAUAAUGAUGAAUAGCAAUGCAUGCAGUUCUUCCUUUUUGGUUUUUUUUUUUUUAUGAAUAAAGACAUCAAAAUAAAGAACAUUCCUCUGCCACA